AACUAUAACGGUCCUAAGGUAGCGAAAUUCCUUGUCAGGUAAGUUCUGACCCGCAUGAAAGGCGUAAUGAUUUGGGCACUGUCUCAACAGCCCGCCCGGCGAAAUUGUAGUACCGGUGAAGAUGCCGGUUACCCGCGACAAGACGGAAAGACCCCAUGGAGCUUUACUGUAGCCUAAUAUUGGGUUUCGAUGUUGCAUGCACAGGAUAGAUGGGACACUGGGAAGCAAGAGCUUUGGCUUUUGUGGAGUGGCCGUUGGGAUACCAUCCUUGCGAUAUUGGAAUUCUAACCUGCGCCUUUGAAUCAAGGCGGGGGACAUUGUUAGGUGGGCAGUUUGACUGGGGCGGUCGCCUCCUAAAGAGUAACGGAGGCGUUCAAAGGUUCGCUCAGCUUGAACGGAAAUCAAGCAAAAGAGUGCAAACGCAGAAGCGAGCCUAACUGCGAGACUGACGGGUCGAGCAGUAACGAAAGUUGGAGUUAGUGAUCCGGUGGUAUGUGAGUGGAAAUGCCAUCGCUCAACGGAUAAAAGCUACCCUGGGGAUAACAGGCUGAUCUCCCCCAAGAGUCCACAUCGACGGGGAGGUUUGGCACCUCGAUGUCGGCUCAUCGCAUCCUGGGGCUGUAUUCGGUCCCAAGGGUUUGGCUGUUCGCCAAUUAAAGCGGUACGCGAGCUGGGUUCAGAACGUCGUGAGACAGUUCGGUCCCUAUCUGUCGUGGGCGCAGGAUAUUUGAAAGGAGCUGUCCCUAGUACGAGAGGACCGGGAUGGACGCACCUCUGGUGCACCAGUUGUCACGCCAGUGGCACAGCUGGGCAGCUAUGUGCGGAACGGAUAAACGCUGAAAGCAUCUAAGCGUGAAGCCGCCCUUAAGAUAAGAUAUCCCAUCUCUUUAAGAGAGUAAGACCCCUCAAAGACUAUGAGGUUGAUAGGCUUACUGUGUAAGCAUGGUGACAUGUUUAGCUUGCAAGUACUAAUCGGUCGAGGGCUUUUCCUU
rnacentral:rRNA from 1 species